GAAUUGCUAAUGAAAUGUUUUCCGGUCAUUUGCCCAAACCCAGAAAACCAGAACCUGCCUUUUCCGUCCCGCAAUCUCUCAAUGGAAGUUCAAGCCUUCUACAAGUAGUCUCUUACCCAAGCUCCCCAUUCUAUUCAUGGAAACAAACACUUCUUCCUCCGUGCGAGUCUUAAUCCGCCCCCCUUCUUCCUCAACACCGCCAUUGCCACCAUCCCUGUACCCUUCUCCUUCCUCGUCCCCACCGGAUCCCCCUCUCCCUCCUAUAGCUCCGCCGCCAACACUGUCCCGACAGCCGUCGCCGCCAUCUCCGUCACCGGCACCGGCACAGGCACCGUCGUCAUCCCAACCUCGCCCAUCAGACGGCAUCGUUGUCGUAGGGUUUAUUGGGAGAAGACCCGACGAUGUGACUCCGCUGAUCAACCGUGUUCUGGACUCGAAUGUGUUCGGUUCUGGUAAUCUUGACAAGGACUUCUGUGUUGAGAAGGAGGAGGUAAAGGGUUGGUUCAAGAAUCGAAGAAUCAGCUAUUAUCAUGAAGCGGAGAGAGGGGUUCUGUAUUUACAGUAUUGUUCCACGCAGUGUCCGGCAAUGGAAGGAGUUUCGGAGUUGCAGUCAGAUUUUGAUGCGUUAUUGGAAGAGCGCGAUUUUGGGGAUCUUCAAGGAUUGCUGUUUAUGUUCUCCGUUUGCCAUGUAAUCAUCUAUGUUCAGGAGGGCUCACGCUUCGAUACACACUUUCUGAAAAAAUUUCGGACUUUGCAAGCUGCCAAGCAUGCUUUGGUUCCAUCUGUGAGAUCUCGAACUGCAGCACCAUUGUUGUCUAAGCCACAUUCUUUGUCAUCCUCAAGAGCUCCUGUAUCAGCAAGUUCUUCUAACAGUCCUUCUCCAGGCAGGAGUCGGGGCAUGCUGAAUCGUAAUGCUUCAGCUAUUUCUCUUAUGUCAGGUCUAGGUUCAUACACCUCUUUGUUUCCAGGACAGUGUACUCCAGUCACACUGUUUGCUUUUCUUGAUGAUUUUUCGGAUCUAUUGAACCCGGGUUCUAAUGUUGAGGAUUCAACUGAUAUUUCCUCAUUUAAUCAGUCUUCUAGUUUGAGCAGUUUUUCCAGGCCAAGCUUGCCUACAAAAGGUUCUGGUCCAGUUGUUGUACUGGCACGGCCUGUAAAUAAAUCUGAAGGUGGUUUGAGGAAGAAACAGCAGUCAUCUCUUGAAUCACAGAUUCGUUUUCUUAUUAAGAAAUGUCGGACUCUCACUGGGUCUGAAACAACUCAUGCUGGGUCAAGAAAUGCAGGUGGUGCAAGUUCAGCUCCCUUGUUUUCACUUGAUGCGUCAAGGGCUGUUGUGUUGUUAGAGAGGUGUAAAAAUCGAAGAGGUGAAUCUCUUGAGUUUGCCACCAGUCUUGUAGAGGAUGUUCUGAAUGGAAAGGCAUCCUCAGAUUUGCUUUUGCAUGAAAGCCAUGGUCAGAUUGCAAACAAAGAGGAUGUUCAAUCUGUAAAAGAGUUUAUUUUCAGGCAGUCUGAUAUUCUAAGGGGGAGAGGGGGAUUAGUUGCUAACACUAAUAGUGGUUCAGCUGCUGGAGUUGGUAUGGUAGCUGUUGCUGCAGCUGCUGCUGCAGCCUCUGCUGCAUCUGGUGGAAAGACAUUUACUACUCCUGAACUUCCAAGUUUGGACUUUUGGAUAUCUUCCAGUCAAACUAUUCUGCGAGGAUUGCUUUCUGCAAAGCGUGGGUGCAUUGAAGAAGCUGAAAUCAGCAAGAGAAAAUCUCGGCAAAGAAACACUGUUCCAGCUCAGAAUGAAGUGAUUGCUCCUAGAUGUGCAGAUCCUGCAGAAAUUGCAGUUUCUUGGUUGGAAUGCGGUAAAGGGCUGAACAUGAAAUUCUCAACUUUGUGGUGCCAAAGAGCCCUUCCAGCUGCUAAGGACAUUUAUUUGAAAGAAUUGCCUGCUUGUUAUCCAACUUCACAGCAUGAAGUCCAUUUGGAGAAAGCUUUGCGUGCUUUCUGCUCAAUGGUCAAGGGACCUGCAGUUCAGCUUUUUAUGAAAAGAUUAGAGGAUGAAUGCACAUCCAUCUGGAUAUCUGGGAGGCAGCAAUGUGACGCUGUUAGUUUAACAGGAAAACCAUGUGUGCACCAGAGACAUGAUGUUGAGGGUGGUGGUUUGCUUGCGGUGGCUGAAGUUAUGCCACAUUCCAGUGGUUUUGUUUUUCUUCAUGCUUGUGCUUGUGGUCGUUCACGCCAACUACGGUAUGACCCUUUUGAUUUUGAAAGUGCUAAUGUGACUUUCAAUCAUUUUCCAGAUUGUGAGAAGCUCCUUCCUGCGCUCCAAUUACCAAAGCUAAGCCAUGCAGGACCUCUUCAGCCAUCAUCAUGGAGUUUGAUUCGAGUUGGGGGUGCAAGGUAUUAUGAACCCUCUAAAGGCUUACUUCAGAGUGGGUUUUCUGCCACUCAGAAAUUCCUUUUGAAGUGGACAAUUUUUCUUGAGAGAUGGAAAAAUCCAACUGGCGCGUCUGCUAGUAUUGUGCAAAUUCCUGUGACCAGCACAAUUCACAAGGUUGAAUCUACUGUAGACGCUGACCUGAGGAAGUCUAGUGCUGCUCAUAUAUACCCAGGAGAAGUACAGAGUGGGCUUGAAAAUCGUAGGAAGUCCUCAGAGAACAUUAAAUCUAUUGAUAAUAAGAUCAGUUUUGGUCGUGGACUUCCCAAUUUUUCAAUGAAAAAGCCAUUUUCUGAGGUUGUUGCUGGAUCAGCCGCAGCAGAUUCAGGAUUCCCUCCUCUUCAGCAGAGUAAACAGCCCUUGUUAGAUUAUGAAAAGGGCACAAAGCAAAAUAAGUUUAGAGACAGGAUUCAAGAGCGAAUUCAUCCAGCUGCUGAUCAUCAAGAUUUGCAAAACUCUGAAAAUAUUUCUCCUGUUCAGGAAACUUUAAAUGCAACUAGCGCUAAUAAAAACACGGAAGGCAACCCAUUUUUACAGAUAGGUAGCAAUGUAGUUCCAGUAAAUGUGGAUGGUGGUGGAAAUAACAAAUUAAACCCAUCUUUAAAGCAUGUAACUGUAUAUGUUGGAUUUGAGCAUGAGUGCCCACAUGGACAUCGAUUCUUGUUGACUCAACAGCAUCUCAAUGAACUUGGCUCCUCUUAUUUGUUGCCUGAAGAAUCUCUUAUGCCUUCAGCUAUGGAAAACUUGAACUGCAAACCAGUAGGUCCAGUAAAAUUGGUUAGGAAUGCUGGCAACGGUAAAGUUCAUCGAAACUUAAAUGGGAUGACUAGUGCUGCUUUAAAUAGGGUGAGAAAUUUGGAUAAGUCAAAAGAGAUUGUGCCCAAUGGUAAUCAUUAUUCAGGAGGGCUAAUGCAGACUUCUGAAAUGGGAAAGGAUCAGGAACAAACUUCUGCUUGUUCGUCAACCCUCCAGGAUUCUGGAAACAAUAUUGAAGAAUGUUUUCAGACCCUUGACCUUGAUGAUGGUGGAUGUGCUUUUUCCAUGUUGAACAGGAAUUUACCCAUAUACAUGAACUGCCCUCACUGCAAGAUCUCCCGGACCAAGAAGGAUCCAACCAAGAAUAAGUUUGCCAGCACAAUUUCUCAGCUUCAAAGGAUUUUCCUGAUUUUGGAAGCUUUGAGGUUAGAGCGCUGUAUCCGACAAAAAUUCGAUAUCUCUAAAGUCUCGCUCGCCGAUCGAUUUGCAAUAAUAAUAAUAAUCAGGUCACCCCUCCAUUUCCAGUUGUUUUGGCAACCCGCCCAAUUAUACAGUUUGAGGCAUCAUGCCUACCUACAUCUGCUUCAGACCUUGAACAAAAGUUGCAGUUCAGCCUUGGAUGCCAAGUAAUCUUACCGCCAGAGAGUUUUCUCACGCUAAGGCUUCCAUUCAUUUAUGGCGUUCAACUGGAGGAUCAGAGUCUACAUCCUCUUAAGCCAUUUGAACAUCAACCAGAACCCACUGCCUGGCUUAUUAAAGGCACAACUUUGCAGGUCUUGUCAAGGGAAGAAAUUCGGAUGAGAGAUUUCGAAUGCAGUUAGGAUUUAAAUCCCAGAAUUUGGUUAAGUGAUGAUUUAUAUCCCUUAUGAACUACACGAGGCAGAUUCAUUACAACAGGUCCUAUUCAAGCUCAGGGGCAAUGCUGGUGUGGUAUCUGAUGGAGGAAUGAGGAUUGUGCAACACCAUAUGCUACAUCAAUGGAUCCAUAUUAUUUGUCCAAUACUUCCACUGAAGCAGCUCCUUUCGAUAUUCUAUUUAAUGGAGAAUGUGCAGGAUAAGGAGAUUCGCGGUUAAUGUUAGCUGGUGAUGGACAAUGUGGAAAGAAGUUUAAGAGAAUUCGAGACUAUUUGGUUGUUACUACUUACUAGGAUACAGGUAGCAAGACUUGUGAGUUUUGGUUGCUUUCUAAACUGAGCUCUGUUCACUUGGCAGCUUUACCCCUGCACUGGCAAUUGCUUGUUAAUAUGUAAUGGAUGUUUGGUUGAGAUCUGCUCCACCAUUGUACCCUUUUCCGCCCCUAAUGGAACACAUUGCAGAGGUGGUAUGGUGCAAAGCGUUGCUCCAUUGGAAUGGGCUUGCUAGUUGCCGACUCAUAUCGGAUGUUGGACAUGAAAGCCUGUCAAAUUGGGGGACUGCAACGAUAUAGGCCUCAGAUGAAGCCAUUAAGCUUUCCUCCAUUGCACUGGGCUUGCUAGUUGCAGACGCAUAAUGGAUGUCGACCUUAGAAGCCUGCCAAAGUGGGAGACUCCGAUGUUAUAGACCUCAGAUUGAAGCCAUAGCAUUAGUAUUGAUGUCAGUUGAAGCCUGCCAACUUGUUUCAUUACUGAUGUGUAUCGUACAGUAAAACUAGAAGUUCUCUCCUUUUAGUUAGUGCGAAAUAGUUCUGGGUUUGACUUCCUGAUCGAAUUAGUGGUUACAUUGUAAGAGUUUGAAAAUUAAUUUUGAACCUCAAACUACCUUAGCUUGCAUUUGGUUUGUGGAAUCGUUUUAGAAUUUUCAUUAUUCAUGUUUGUUUUGAGGUUGAAAAAAAUAUCAUGAUAGUAAUAUCAUUUAUUCUGAGUCUUUUAAUA